UUCUGUUCGGACUGCGGUGUGCUUCGUGUGUAGUAAUUGUUUUUUUGUGCGUGUGUUCCCGUUUAACUACAGAUGAUUGAGAUGAGCUUUCUCCUUAUCGAUAGACUUGAAGUCCUUGAGCGAUAGCCAAAAAAUAUCUCACUGGUUGUAUCAGACUCAUGCUCUGGCUUACAAGCCACAUUGAAAUCAUCCAAUAAAAUGUAACUCCCAGAGCAUGGGUUAAAAUAGCAGAAAUGGCUCGGAACACCA